rnacentral:rRNA from 1 species
GGACCCGCACAAGCGGUGGAUGAUGUGGAUUAAUUCGAUGCAACGCGAAAAACCUUACCUACCCUUGACAUGGUCGGAAUCCUGGAGAGAUCUGGGAGUGCUCGAAAGAGAACCGGCGCACAGGUGCUGCAUGGCUGUCGUCAGCUCGUGUCGUGAGAUGUUGGGUUAAGUCCCGCAACGAGCGCAACCCUUGUCAUUAGUUGCUACGAAAGGGCACUCUAAUGAGACUGCCGGUGACAAACCGGAGGAAGGUGGGGAUGACGUCAAGUCCUCAUGGCCCUUAUGGGUAGGGCUUCACACGUCAUACAAUGGUACAUACAGAGGGCCGCCAACCCGCGAGGGGGAGCUAAUCCCAGAAAGUGUAUCGUAGUCCGGAUUGCAGUCUGCAACUCGACUGCAUGAAGUUGGAAUCGCUAGUAAUCGCGGAUCAGCAUGUCGCGGUGAAUACGUUCCCGGGUCUU